rnacentral:rRNA from 1 species
UACGUAGGCAGCGAGCGUUGUUCGGAAUUACUGGGCGUAAAGGGCCAGUAGGCGGCCGACUAAGUCCGACGUGGAAUCCCCAGGCUUAACCUGGGAACUGCGUCGGAUACUGGUUGGCUUGAAUUCGGGAGAGGGAUGCAGAAUUCCAGGUGUAGCGGUGAAAUGCGUAGAUAUCUGGAGGAAGACCGGUGGCGAAGGCGGCAUCCUGGACCGACAUUGACGCUGAACGGCGAAAGCUAGGGGAGCAAACGGG